AGCUUUUGCAAUGAAUUAGUUUCAACUCUUUUCCUUACUCCUGGGGGGAAAAACAUACACACACACCAAACAACAUGCACGUGGAGGGAACUAUGUGAGCAUGUAUCGGUUUGCUUUCUUCAAAACGUCCUGUGCCGGGAUGAAUGCCUUUUCUGCCAGGUACGCCCGAGGAAGCCAGAAGCUCAGGGAAGGAAUGGGACAGUCCCGCCUCCGACCCCACAGUGGCCUGCGGAGGUGAGGACAGACGAGGCGGGGCAGGGCCUGCGGCCGGGUCCGGGGCUCAGUCAGGGGAGGUCGGGGCAAGGCCGCUCGGUGGCGGCUGCGGGCAGGCCGAGGGAUGAAGCGGCCCCGGGGCUGGGCAAAGGAGGCAGGAGGGCCGGGCCUGGGGCCGCAGCUCCCCCCCCGGAACGGGCUGCGCGCUGCGGCCUGCGCGGCCUGGGGAUCGGCUCCUGCCCCGCUUGGGCCCGUCACCGGUUCCCCACCGCCUCCCCCCCACCGCCGGCGAGGCCGCUACCUGCCGGCGCUGCGAGGGCCGAGGGUUGCUGUAGAGCGGCGGUAGCUGCUCCUGGAGCCGGCUCCGGCUGCGCGGAACCGCCAGGGCCCCGCCGUGAGGAGGGGAAGGGGCGGGCGUGGGGGUGGCCGCGGGGGCGGCCGCGGUGCGAGCUGUUCGGCUCCGACGGGCGGAGCGGAGCCGGGGGGAGCAGGGCUGGGCGGCAAGGAGCGAGCCGGGAUGGGGGAGGCCCGCGAGGGGAAGAGCCCCGCCGUGGGGCCCUCGUCAGCCUGCGGGCCCCGAGUAAGAGCCGCCGCGGGGGCAAGGCCGCCAGAACUCGGUUUUGGGACGCCUACAGCCCAAGUUGCACGUCCUGGGCGCUGCCGGUAGCGACUGGCCGCAGGGCUCCUCAGGGGGAAGGCGGCGGUUUGGAUGGUGCUGCCCGUACUGACCUAAUGCAGCCACGCAUUUCUUGUGUAAAACACGGCAAAUGGGUCAGGGGAAACCUGCGGGAUCGCAGGAGCAGGAUGCUUAGGGGGGAAAUAAAUUCUGCUGAGGUUAUUUUCCCCCCAGUAUCUUCUACUGAGGCUCUUCUGUUGUAUUAA
rnacentral:lncRNA from 1 species